rnacentral:rRNA from 1 species
GGGGGGACCAUCCUCCAAGGCUAAAUACUCCUGACUGACCGAUAGUGAACCAGUACCGUGAGGGAAAGGCGAAAAGAACCCCGGCGAGGGGAGUGAAAAAGAACCUGAAACCGUGUACGUACAAGCAGUGGGAGCACGCUUAGGCGUGUGACUGCGUACCUUUUGUAUAAUGGGUCAGCGACUUAUAUUCUGUAGCAAGGUUAACCGAAUAGGGGAGCCGAAGGGAAACCGAGUCUUAACUGGGCGUUAAGUUGCAGGGUAUAGACCCGAAACCCGGUGAUCUAGCCAUGGGCAGGUUGAAGGUUGGGUAACACUAACUGGAGGACCGAACCGACUAAUGUUGAAAAAUUAGCGGAUGACUUGUGGCUGGGGGUGAAAGGCCAAUCAAACCGGGAGAUAGCUGGUUCUCCCCGAAAGCUAUUUAGGUAGCGCCUCGUGAAUUCAUCUCCGGGGGUAGAGCACUGUUUCGGCAAGGGGGUCAUCCCGACUUACCAACCCGAUGCAAACUGCGAAUACCGGAGAAUGUUAUCACGGGAGACACACGGCGGGUGCUAACGUCCGUCGUGAAGAGGGAAACAACCCAGACCGCCAGCUAAGGUCCCAAAGUCAUGGUUAAGUGGGAAACGAUGUGGGAAGGCCCAGACAGCCAGGAUGUUGGCUUAGAAGCAGCCAUCAUUUAAAGAAAGCGUAAUAGCUCACUGGUCGAGUCGGCCUGCGCGGAAGAUGUAACGGGGCUAAACCAUGCACCGAAGCUGCGGCAGCGACACUAUGUGUUGUUGGGUAGGGGAGCGUUCUGUAAGCCUGUGAAGGUGUACUGUGAGGUAUGCUGGAGGUAUCAGAAGUGCGAAUGCUGACAUAAGUAACGAUAAAGCGGGUGAAAAGCCCGCUCGCCGGAAGACCAAGGGUUCCUGUCCAACGUUAAUCGGGGCAGGGUGAGUCGACCCCUAAGGCGAGGCCGAAAGGCGUAGUCGAUGGGAAACAGGUUAAUAUUCCUGUACUUGGUGUUACUGCGAAGGGGGGACGGAGAAGGCUAUGUUGGCCGGGCGACGGUUGUCCCGGUUUAAGCGUGUAGGCUGGUUUUCCAGGCAAAUCCGGAAAACUAAGGCUGAGGCGUGAUGACGAGGCACUACGGUGCUGAAGCAACAAAUGCCCUGCUUCCAGGAAAAGCCUCUAAGCAUCAGGUAACAUCAAAUCGUACCCCAAACCGACACAGGUGGUCAGGUAGAGAAUACCAAGGCGCUUGAGAGAACUCGGGUGAAGGAACUAGGCAAAAUGGUGCCGUAACUUCGGGAGAAGGCACGCUGAUAUGUAGGUGAAGUCCCUCGCGGAUGGAGCUGAAAUCAGUCGAAGAUACCAGCUGGCUGCAACUGUUUAUUAAAAACACAGCACUGUGCAAACACGAAAGUGGACGUAUACGGUGUGACGCCUGCCCGGUGCCGGAAGGUUAAUUGAUGGGGUCAGCGCAAGCGAAGCUCUUGAUCGAAGCCCCGGUAAACGGCGGCCGUAACUAUAACGGUCCUAAGGUAGCGAAAUUCCUUGUCGGGUAAGUUCCGACCUGCACGAAUGGCGUAAUGAUGGCCAGGCUGUCUCCACCCGAGACUCAGUGAAAUUGAACUCGCUGUGAAGAUGCAGUGUACCCGCGGCAAGACGGAAAGACCCCGUGAACCUUUACUAUAGCUUGACACUGAACAUUGAGCCUUGAUGUGUAGGAUAGGUGGGAGGCUUUGAAGUGUGGACGCCAGUCUGCAUGGAGCCGACCUUGAAAUACCACCCUUUAAUGUUUGAUGUUCUAACGUUGACCCGUAAUCCGGGUUGCGGACAGUGUCUGGUGGGUAGUUUGACUGGGGCGGUCUCCUCCUAAAGAGUAACGGAGGAGCACGAAGGUUGGCUAAUCCUGGUCGGACAUCAGGAGGUUAGUGCAAUGGCAUAAGCCAGCUUGACUGCGAGCGUGACGGCGCGAGCAGGUGCGAAAGCAGGUCAUAGUGAUCCGGUGGUUCUGAAUGGAAGGGCCAUCGCUCAACGGAUAAAAGGUACUCCGGGGAUAACAGGCUGAUACCGCCCAAGAGUUCAUAUCGACGGCGGUGUUUGGCACCUCGAUGUCGGCUCAUCACAUCCUGGGGCUGAAGUAGGUCCCAAGGGUAUGGCUGUUCGCCAUUUAAAGUGGUACGCGAGCUGGGUUUAGAACGUCGUGAGACAGUUCGGUCCCUAUCUGCCGUGGGCGCUGGAGAACUGAGGGGGGCUGCUCCUAGUACGAGAGGACCGGAGUGGACGCAUCACUGGUGUUCGGGUUGUCAUGCCAAUGGCACUGCCCGGUAGCUAAAUGCGGAAGAGAUAAGUGCUGAAAGCAUCUAAGCACGAAACUUGCCCCGAGAUGAGUUCUCCCUGACUCCUUGAGAGUCCUGAAGGAACGUUGAAGACGACGACGUUGAUAGGCCGGGUGUGUAAGCGCAGCGAUGC